rnacentral:sRNA from 1 species
GUUCAAGGUCAGCUGCCGCCAUUAAUGAUUCCCGUAUUCCCUCCUGAUCAACGGACGCUGGCUGCAGCUGCCCAGCAAGGAUUCCUCCUCCCUCCAGGCUUCAGCUAUAAGGCUGGAUGUAGUGACCCUUACCCUGUUCAGCUGAUCCCAACUACCAUGGCAGCUGCUGCCGCAGCAACACCAGGCUUAGGCCCACUCCAACUGCAGCAGUUAUAUGCUGCCCAGCUAGCUGCAAUGCAGGUAUCUCCAGGAGGGAAGCUGCCAGGCAUACCCCAAGGCAACCUUGGUGCUGCUGUAUCUCCUACCAGCAUUCACACAGACAAGAGCACAAACAGCCCACCACCCAAAAGCAAGGAUGAAGUGGCACAGCCACUGAACCU